rnacentral:rRNA from 1 species
GAUGAACGCUGGCGGCGUGCCUAAUACAUGCAAGUCGAGCGAACAGACGAGGAGCUUGCUCCUCUGACGUUAGCGGCGGACGGGUGAGUAACACGUGGAUAACCUACCUAUAAGACUGGGAUAACUUCGGGAAACCGGAGCUAAUACCGUAUAAUAUAUUGAACCGCAUGGUUCAAUAGUGAAAGACGGUUUUGCUGUCACUUAUAGAUGGAUCCGCGCCGCAUUAGCUAGUUGGUAAGGUAACGGCUUACCAAGGCAACGAUGCGUAGCCGACCUGAGAGGGUGAUCGGCCACACUGGAACUGAGACACGGUACAGACUCCGACGGGAGGCAGCAGUAGGGAAGCUUCCGCAAUGGGCGAAAGCUUGACGGAGCAACGCCGCGUGAGUGAUGAAGGGCUUCGGAUCGUAAAACGCUGUUAUGAGGGAAGAACAAAUGUGUAAGUAACUAUGCACGUCUUGACGGUACCUAAUCAGAAAGCCACGGCUAACUACGU